rnacentral:lncRNA from 1 species
UGUAAUCCCAGCACUUUGGGAGGCCGAGGUGGGCAGAUCAUCUGAGGUCAAGAGUUCAAGACCAGCCUGACCAACAUGGAGAAACCCUGUCUCUACUAAAAAUACAAAAUUAGCCAGGCAUGGUGGCACAUGCCUGUAAUCCCAGCUACUCCGGAGGCUGAGGCAGGAGAAUUGCUGGAACCUGAGAGGUGCAGGCUGCAGUAAGCCAAGAUCGCACCAUUACACUCCAGCCCAGGCAACAAGAGCGAAACUCCAUCUCAAAAAAAAAAAAAAAGAAAAGAAAAAAAGAAAGACAUUUAAUAGUUCUCAGUAAUAAAGAGAGGAACCAACUGUCUUUUAAAAUUGUAGUCUUAAAAAUUUGAAGGAAGAAACCCAGUGAAUCCCAUCUUGGGACAGGUGGCCAUCACUAUACCGGGGACCAUAGCAAAAAAAAAAAAAAGAAAAAUGUGUCAGACAAAACUACAAAUGUUCAGCACGGUGUUCAAACACACACUGGGCGUGGCAGCAAGAUCAGAGGAUGGGAGAUGAGAAAGAAGGGGGACUGAAGUCUACACGUUCAAGGAGUUUGUCUCAGAAGGAAACUGCAAAAUAAAGACCAUCCCUGACAUGUUGACAUUGAUGCUGAAAGGGAGAGAGAGCCCUGAAGGCCGGGCGUGGUGGCUCACGCCUGUAAUCCCAGCACUUUGGGAGGCCAAGGCGGGCGUAUCACCUGAGGUCAGGAGUUAAAGACCAGCCUGACCAACAUGGAGAAACCCCACCUCUACUAAAAAUCCAAAAUUAGUUGGGUGUGGUGGCGCAUGCCUGUAAUCCCAGCUACUCCGGAGGCUGAGGCAGGAGAAUCGCUGGAACCUGAGAGGCGGAGGUUGUGGUAAGCCAAGAUUGCACCUUUGCACUCCAGCCUAGGCAACAAAAGUAAAACUCCACCUCAAAAAAAAAAAAAAAAAAAAAAAAAAAGGAAAGCCCUGGAGGAGUGACUCUUGAGACAGAAGGUUUGACACACUCAAAGUGAGAAAAUUGAUCAUUCAGUAUACACCAUGCAAAGGCCCGAAUCUGGCCCCAAAUAUCUCAUUUUGUCUGAAAAAAAUGAAAAUGUCACUUUUGACACCCCCCAACCAAAAUCUCAAUUUGUUUACAAGAACCACAUAAGGAAUCUUAUUCCUUAACCAUUUGAUGGUUGAGUUCCCCAAAAAUAGAAAUUAAAGCCACACACUGUCUUUCAUCUACCCUCUUUGCAGGGGUACAUUCACUUUGGGAGACCGUGAACAUCUUGGUAGAGGAUUUUAGACUUUAAGAGCAAAAGAAUGACACUGGACAUUUUUCAAGCAGAAGAAUGCACAACUGUAGGAUUCUCCUGGUUGCUAUGUAAGGAAUGAGUUAAGGGGAGGCAGGAAGGGAAGCUGGAAGACCAUUUAUGGGGCCUUUGGAGAAAUGCAGUUGAGAGAGUAUAGGGAGGAGAAGGUUAUAUUCUGGAGGUAGACUUGCUGCUAAAUUGGAUAAAGGAAGGGAAAGAAAGAGAAGACUUAGGAGUAACCUAGGCCGAGCGCGGUGGCUCAUGC